rnacentral:lncRNA from 1 species
UACCUUCCUUCAUCUUUGGUAACACUUGUGAGGAUUGGGUCAUAAGAAGAACUUGAUAGCUCGGCAUCUCUAACCUGCCAUUCUGUCAGGUAACUUGGUUUUGAAGUAACCUCGUCGAUCUCAAUUUCUCCGUUCAGCAUGGUAACCGCCUUCGACAUUGAUGGACGGAGAAAGGGUGACGUUUGGGUGCAAAGAAGAGCCAAACGAAUGAUGCGGGUGACUUCUACUUCAUCAUAUGAUGUUAAUUUCUUAUCCAUUAUCUCAAGUGCCAUUUUUCUAUCAUACAGAUUCCAUGCCUGACAAUAAGCAGCAGCAUAAUUCAAUAAACAAGGGCAUUUCUUUAUAUAAGAUCUCAUGAAUUCAAUUCCGGUUUUCUUCUAAAUAUCUACUUGCAAUCGGGCAACA